UGUUACUUGGCGGCCACGGAAAGCGUAAAAAGUGAAAACGUCAACUAUUUGGUUGCUAAAAAAAUAAAUCAAGUGGUUUAGAGAAAUCUCUCUCUCUCUCUUGGUCCCUCCUCAGGUGGGUACUGUUGAAAAGCACUUGUUUUGUGAUCCUUUUGUUUAAUGGAUGGUGAAAAGAGUGGUGGCAGUAAUAAUGAUUAUACAGGGAAGACGAUGUCUCAAGCUGAAGCAGAGGCUCUGAGGAAAUGUUUAGAGGAAAACAAAGGAGAAAGUCAGGCUAAUUGUAAGUCAAAGCUUGAGGCAUAUUACUCUUCUUCUCAUCCAAAGAAACGAUUAGCUCCUUUAAGGCGCAUCAGAGGCUCUCUCACUGAGGUUUGAAGAAGAAAUUAGUGGCAACGCAAUUUCUGGGUGUUGGUGGGGUAUAAACUAUGAUGUUCCAUUGUAAAUAUAAUAUAUAGGAAAUGUCCGUAAUUGACACCUUAGGAUGCUGCUUAUGCUUAAAGCUCUUUGAUUUGGGAUGCUUUACAUUGGCAUUCAUGGUAAAAUUUAGCAAUUUUUUUU